UACGGAGGGUGCAAGCGUUAUCCGGAUUCACUGGGUUUAAAGGGUGCGUAGGCGGGCAGUUAAGUCAGUGGUGAAAUCCUUGAGCUCAACUCGAGAACUGCCAUUGGUACUAUCUGUCUUGAAUAUUGUGGAGGUAAGCGGAAUAUGUCAUGUAGCGGUGAAAUGCUUAGAUAUGACAUAGAACACCUAUUGCGAAGGCAGCUUACUACGCAUAUAUUGACGCUGAGGCACGAAAGCGUGGGGAUCAAACAGG
rnacentral:rRNA from 1 species